GUGCCCAUUGCCUCUGGUCCUGUCACUGGGCACCACUGAAAAGAGCCUGGCUCUGUCAUCUUUGCACCCUCCCUUCAGGUAUUUACAUGCAUUAAUAAGAUCCCCAUGAGCCUUCUCUUCUCCAGAG